UUGUAGCAACUACUCCUACUAGUGCCUAGAGACCGUGUCACGCGCUAAAACUACUUGGGACCAGCUAAAAUCAACAUUUCUAGCUCAAGAACAGGGUCACCAAGGUAGCAAGAAUACGCGAAGGAUAAAGCACUAGAGUAAAAACUAAUUGGACCAAUGGAGGAGUCACUUACCAAGGAGUAAUUUCCCCAAAACGGUUCGGAGAAUGGUGCUUUGAGCAAGGAGAUCGAAAAUCACAGCCAAAUGAGCAAGAACACGGGUUUGAG
rnacentral:lncRNA from 1 species